rnacentral:rRNA from 1 species
UACGUAGGGACCGAGCGUUGUCCGGAUUCAUUGGGCGUAAAGAGCUCGUAGGCGGCUGCUCAAGUCGAAUGUGAAAACUCGAGGCUCAACCUCGAGCCUGCAUUCGAUACUGGGCGGCUAGAGUCUGGUAGGGGGAUCUGGAAUUCCUGGUGUAGCGGUGGAAUGCGCAGAUAUCAGGAGGAACACCGGUGGCGAAGGCGGGAUCCUGGGCCAGUACUGACGCUGAGGAACGAAAGCUAGGGGAGCAAACAGG